UUCUAUGAUGUUCAGCUUUUCUGAUGUUCGGAUUCAAGUAGAUGUAGUGCUUCUAUGUUCAUGGUGUACAGAUUCAAGUAGAUGUAGUGCUUGAAAAUACCUUGCCGAAGACUCUGAAGACCCUGAUAAAAAAAUUGACAUCCUAGGAUGGUGGAAAGAGAAUUCAUCUAGGUUCCCAAUCUUGGCAAAUAUGGCUCGUGAUAUUCUUGCUAUCCCCAUUACAACGGUGGCUUCUGAGUCAGCCUUUAGCACAAGUGGACGCAUACUUGAUGACUUUAGGACAUCUCUAACUCCAUUUAUGGUACAAGCUUUAGUUUGUACGCAAGACUGGCUGAGAAGGUCAACAAAUCCUGUCGACAUCAAGGAGAACUUGGAAGAAUUAGAAGAGCUAGAAAAAGAGUUGAUUGAAGAAUUUGGUGACAAGGUGAAGUGAAAGCGCAAGGUCAAUGGUGGUGUUGUUGCUUCUUCCAUGGCCAAUUCGACCAACAAAGUGAGAUCCACAUCCACUCAUGGUUGAACUGAAAUCAUGUGGAAUGUGUGCUAUUCUCAUUAUCUUGUGCUUGUAAUUUGUGACGAGACUUAGAGAAUUGAGAACAGUGAGAGUACUGUGUUGAUGUCAAGUACUAUGUGGUUUGCUGCUUAUGUCAAGUGUUGAACUUAUGUGGAAUCUUAUGUUCGUUGUUUGUUGUUGCAAUGAAAUCAUGUACUUAA